rnacentral:rRNA from 1 species
CCCUUAGAUGUUCUGGGCCGCACGCGCGCUACACUGAUGCAUUCAACGAGUCUAAAACCUGCUCUGAUAGGGGUGGGUAAUCUUUUGAAUGUGCAUCGUGAUUGGGAUAGAUGAUUGCAAUUUUUCAUAUUCAACGAGGAAUGCCUAGUAAACGCAAGUCAUCAGCUUGCAUUGAUUACGUCCCUGCCCUUUGUACACACCGCCCGUCGCUCCUACCGAUUGAAUGAUCCGAUGAAUAUCAUGGAUUGAGGAUGCAAGUAGGUUCGCCUAUCUUCAUCUUCGAGAAGUGAAGUAAAUCUUAUCAUUUAGAGGAAGGAGAAGUCGUAACA